rnacentral:lncRNA from 1 species
CUUAAUGUUACUUUUAUUCAAUCAAACGGAGGAGCUUCUAUUCGAGCCUCAAACCACCAACUCAAUGUGUCCUUUUAUUCCAUUUUUUUCGACCCAAAUAAAGUAGAAAUGACCAACCCGAGCCCAACUCGAAUUAUCAACUAGAACUAAUAAUCGACGUUAAACCGAACCGAACUCGGAGCACCAUCAAGAGGUACGUGUACUGCCGCGAUGGAUUUUGGUCGCCGAUUUGAUUUUCUCCAAUGGGAUUGCCUUAACUGGUUUCAGAUGACGGACAACACGAUGAUUUCCCGGUGGAACCACAUCUUGGUCGGCAUAGGGGGUGGUUUACCAACGGAAUAUUGAGCUGGAUGACUCUUUUUUCUCUGUUUCCUUGCUUUUUCCUCUUAUUUUUUCUAUGUGUUUUCUACUGAUUUUAUCCUUGUUUCUUCAUCAUUUCCCCUUUCCCAUGUAGGUAUAUAUUUUGAUGGUGUGUUUAGUGUAUGAAUUUCAAUGGAGGUGGUUGCCUGUGUUGUUGUUGAUCGACCCAAAAAUGGAGUAUGUCCCUACUGCCUAUGCGUGCAGUGUGCGUGCUCUAUUUCUUCAACAAUGUGGAGUGGUAUGCAUAGGUGAUGAAUGGAAAUGUGUGUUCAGAAAGGGUGUGCAUAUAUGGUGGUUCUCGUAAGUGGGAUGGUGCUCGUUAAUGGAAGAUGAACUCGUGUAUAUAUGGUGAGGUUUCCCCCCGAAGAAGAUGAUAAUUAUUCCCUCUCCCGUGUAUUCUGUGGGUGUUCUCUAUAUGUAAGUGUGGUCCCUCCCCC